rnacentral:rRNA from 1 species
UACAGAGGUCCCAAGCGUUGUUCGGAUUCACUGGGCGUAAAGGGCGCGUAGGCGGCAAUUCAAGUCAUCUGUGAAAUCUCCGGGCUUAACUCGGAACGGUCAGAUGAUACUGCUUUGCUAGAGUACAGAAGGGGCAAUCGGAAUUCUUGGUGUAGCGGUGAAAUGCGUAGAUAUCAAGAGGAACACCUGAGGUGAAGACGGGUUGCUGGGCUGAUACUGACGCUGAGGCGCGAAAGCGUGGGGAGCAAACGGG